CAUGCUCUUCAUAAGCCCUGAGAACGGAUAACAACCUCCAGUGUAGACGGACCCGGUGAACGAAGCCAGGCAUAAAAGUCCAUUACUGUAUGAUUGCAUUACAUGAAAUGUCUAGAAGAGUCAAAUCUCUAUGGAAAGCAAACAGACGCGCGGUUGCCAGGAGCUGGGGGCAAAAGGGUUGGAGGAGAGUGGGAAUUGACCACUAAAGGGUGCAGGGUUUCUUUUGAGGGUGAGGAAUGUGUUUUAAAAUGUCCUGCGGUUAGGUAGUUGCGCAAUUCUGUGAAUACAGUAAAAAGUACCGGAUGGUACAUUUUGAAAAGGAAGAUGUGAGCUCUGCGGAUCUCAAGGCUUCCUGCUUCCCAUCUCCGGAAUAACACGCUUCGUCUGCCCUGGGUGAGAGAGCCUGAUGGGCACAGUGCCUUCACUUAGGAAUAUCAGACGACAUCGAACCCCUCCUCUGGAGCCCUUCCCAGUGAAGUCAUACCUUUUUUGGGAAGGACCAAAGAGGUGCUGUGUCCUUGUUGGCACUUCAUAUGAUGGAGCCGGUGAUGAACCUUGAUUACUCAGCUAAAGUGCUAUCUCCAGGAUUCUCCAGGGAAUAAUGAAGAACAAAUAAGAAGCAUCAUCCAUCAAAGACGGACUCCCUAAGUUUCUUUACUUAAUUCAAUUUGCUUGUACUGCUCCUACAGUAUUUUCCAAACAAAGCUGUUCUUUUCUACAUGUGAUAGUUCAGUCCUGCAAACAUCCUCGGGAAUAAUAAACAAACAAUCGGGGCACAUUUUCUGCCACAAAUUACACUCUGCAACAUUCUUUCUUGAUCCAAAGCAUUCUGAAUUCCAAGCAAGCAGAGACACGUCUGCACUGCAAGUCCUGCACACAAUAGAG